UUGAACGCUGGCGGAAUGCUUUACACAUGCAAGUCGAACGGCAGCACGGACUUCGGUCUGGUGGCGAGUGGCGAACGGGUGAGUAAUAUAUCGGAACGUAUCCAAUAAUGGGGGAUAACUAAUCGAAAGGUUGGCUAAUACCGCAUACGCCCUGAGGGGGAAAGCUAGGGAUCUUCGGACCCGGCGUUAAUGGAGCGGCCGAUAUCUGAUUAGCUAGUUGGUGAGGUAAGAGCUCACCAAGGCGACGAUCAGUAGCUGGUCUGAGAGGACGACCAGCCACACUGGAACUGAGACACGGUCCAGACUCCUACGGGAGGCAGCAGUGGGGAAUUUUGGACAAUGGGCGCAAGCCUGAUCCAGCCAUUCCGCGUGAGUGAAGAAGGCCUUCGGGUUGUAAAGCUCUUUCGCAAGGGAAGAACACUUAGCCACUAACAUUGGCUGAGGUUGACGGUACCUUGAUAAGAAGCACCGGCUAACUACGUGCCAGCAGCCGCGGUAAUACGUAGGGUGCGAGCGUUAAUCGGAAUUACUGGGCGUAAAGCGUGCGCAGGCGGUUUUGUAAGUCAGAUGUGAAAUCCCCGAGCUCAACUUGGGAACUGCGUUUGAAACUACAAGACUGGAAUAGGUCAGAGGGGGGUAGAAUUCCACGUGUAGCAGUGAAAUGCGUAGAGAUGUGGAGGAAUACCAAUGGCGAAGGCAGCCCCCUGGGAUCAUAUUGACGCUCAUGCACGAAAGCGUGGGGAGCAAACAGGAUUAGAUACCCUGGUAGUCCACGCCCUAAACGAUGUCUACUAGUUGUUGGUGGAGUAAA
rnacentral:rRNA from 1 species